CUACGGGUCGCUGCAGUGGGGAAUCUUGGACAAUGGGCGCAAGCCUGAUCCAGCCAUGCCGCGUGAGUGAUGAAGGCCUUAGGGUCGUAAAGCUCUUUCGCCAGGGAUGAUAAUGACAGUACCUGGUAAAGAAACCCCGGCUAACUCCGUGCCAGCAGCCGCGGUAAUACGGAGGGGGUUAGCGUUGUUCGGAAUUACUGGGCGUAAAGCGCGCGUAGGCGGAUCAGAAAGUUGGGGGUGAAAUCCCGGGGCUCAACCCCGGAACGGCCUCCAAAACUCCUGGUCUUGAGUUCGAGAGAGGUGAGUGGAAUUCCGAGUGUAGAGGUGAAAUUCGUAGAUAUUCGGAGGAACACCAGUGGCGAAGGCGGCUCACUGGCUCGAUACUGACGCUGAGGUGCGAAAGUGUGGGGAGCAAACAGGAUUAGAUACCCUUGUAGUC
rnacentral:rRNA from 1 species